rnacentral:rRNA from 1 species
GACGAACGCUGGCGGCGUGCUUAACACAUGCAAGUCGAACGAUGAAGCCGGAGCUUGCUCUGGUGAGUUAGCGGCGGACGGGUGAGUAACACGUGGGUAACCUGCCCAUAAGACUGGGAUAACUCCGGGAAACCGGGGCUAAUACCGGAUACGACCCUCGGCGGCAUCGCCAGGGGGUGGAAAGAAUUUCGGUCAAGGAUGGACUCGCGGCCUAUCAGCUAGUUGGUGAGGUAACGGCUCACCAAGGCGACGACGGGUAGCCGGCCUGAGAGGGUGACCGGCCACACUGGGACUGAGACACGGCCCAGACUCCUACGGGAGGCAGCAGUGGGGAAUAUUGCACAAUGGGCGCAAGCCUGAUGCAGCAACGCCGCGUGAGGGAUGACGGCCUUCGGGUUGUAAACCUCUUUUAGUAGGGAAGAAGCGAAAGUGACGGUACCUGCAGAAAAAGCACCGGCUAACUACGUGCCAGCCGCCGCAGUAA